UCGUUUGCGACGCCCAACACACAAAACAAGCGGUGAGUGCUUUGGGGUGGGGUGACUGCGUACCUUUUGUAUAAUGGGUCAGCGACUUAUAUUCUGUAGCAAGGUUAACCGAAUAGGGGAGCCGGAGGGAAACCGAGUCUUAAUUGGGCGUUAAGUUGCAGGGUAUAGACCCGAAACCCGGUGAUCUAGCCAUGGGCAGGUUGAAGGUUGGGUAACACUAACUGGAGGACCGAACCGACUAAUGUUGAAAAAUUAGCGGAUGACCUGUGGCUGGGGGUGAAAGGCCAAUCAAACCGGGAGAUAGCUGGUUCUCCCCGAAAGCUAUUUAGGUAGCGCCUCGUGAAUUCAUCUCCGGGGGUAGAGCACUGUUUCGGCUAGGGGGCCAUCCCGGCUUACCAACCCGAUGCAAACUGCGAAUACCGGAGAAUGUUAUCACGGGAGACACACGGCGGGUGCUAACGUCCGUCGUGAAGAGGGAAACAACCCAGACCGCCAGCUAAGGUCCCAAAGUCAUGGUUAAGUGGGAAACGAUGUGGGAAGGCCCAGACAGCCAGGAUGUUGGCUUAGAAGCAGCCAUCAUUUAAAGAAAGCGUAAUAGCUCACUGGUCGAGUCGGCCUGCGCGGAAGAUGUAACGGGGCUAAACCAU
rnacentral:rRNA from 1 species